CUUUAAGGUCUAGUCUGCCCAAUGAUUUUAUUUAAUGGCCGCAGUAUAUUGACUGUGCAAAGGUAGCGUAAUCAUUAGUUUUUUAAUUGAAAGCUUGUAUGAAAGGCUUGACGAGGUAAUUACUGUCUCUGUUUAAAAUUUUUAGAAUUUAACUUUUGAGUAAAAAGGCUUAAAUUAAAAUAAAAGACGAGAAGACCCUAUAGAUCUUUAUAUUUAAUUGAUUUAAGUUAUUUAAGUAUUAAUAAUUAAUUUAAUUUAAUUAUAUAUUUUAUUGGGGUAAUAUAAAGAUUUAAUAAAUUCUUUAUUUAUAAACAUUAAUUAAUGAUUUAAUGAUCCGUAUUUAACGAUUAGAAGAUUAAGUUACCUUAGGGAUAACAGCGUAAUGUUUUUUGAGAGUUCAUAUCGACAGAAAAGAUUGCGACCUCGAUGUUGGAUUAAAAAUUAUUUUAGGUGCAGAAGCUUAAAAAUUUGGUCUGUUCGACCAUUAAAUUUUUACAUGAUCUGAGUUCAGACCGGCGUAAGCCAGGUCGGUUUCUAUCUUUAUUUAAUUAGAAUAUUUUAGUACGAAAGGACCAAUUAUUUAAUAUAUUAAUAUUUAUAUUUAUUGAAUAUUAUUAUUACUUUGGCAGAUUAGUGCAAUGAAUUUAGAUUUCAUGUAUGUAAUUUUUUUACAAGUAAUACUUGUAUUAUAUAGAUUUAGUUUUUAUAAUUAUUCGUAUGUUAAUUUUAGUAAUUUGUGUAUUAAUUGGGGUUGCUUUUUUAACUUUAAUAGAACGAAAAGU
rnacentral:rRNA from 1 species